rnacentral:misc_RNA from 2 species
CAUUACACAAUAAAAUAUGAAGGCUGUACGCGGCUGUGCUCUCGGGCCAGUUUUGCGGAGGCUGAAUUAUUUAUUACCCUUGUCUUUUGCGCACUUGUUGUUUCCUGGGCGGGUUCGCCCGCCACCAGGACCACAUCAUAAACCUUUUUUAUGCAGUUGCAAUCAGCGUCAGUAUAACAAAUGUAAAUCAUUUACAACUUUCAACAACGGAUCUCUUGGUUCUGGCAUCGAUGAAGAACGCAGCGAAAUGCGAUACGUAGUGUGAAUUGCAGAAUUCAGUGAAUCAUCGAAUCUUUGAACGCACAUUGCGCCCUUUGGUAUUCCAAAGGGCAUGCCUGUUCGAGCGUCAUUUGUACCCUCAAGCUUUGCUUGGUGUUGGGCGUUUUUUGUCUUUGGUUGCCAAAGACUCGCCUUAAAAGGAUUGGCAGCCGGCCUACUGGUUUCGCAGCGCAGCACAUUUUUGCGCUUGCAAUCAGCAAAAGAGGACGGCAAUCCAUCAAGACUCCUUCUCACGUUUGACCUCGGAUCAGGUAGGGAUACCCGCUGAACUUAAGCAUAUCAAUAA